rnacentral:rRNA from 1 species
CAAGUCGAACGAUGAAGUUCCUUCGGGAAUGGAUUAGUGGCGAACGGGUGAGAAACACGUGAGAAACCUGCCUUUCAUUUUGGGAUAACUCCGGGAAACCGGAGCUAACACCGAAUACUCCGUCUCGGCGGCAUCGCUGAGCCGGGAAAAAAUUUUGAUGAAAGAUGGUCUCGCGGCCUAUCAGCUAGUUGGUGAGGUAAUGGCUCACCAAGGCGACGACGGGUAGCCGGCCUGAGAGGGCGACCGGCCACACUGGGACUGAGACACGGCCCAGACUCCUACGGGAGGCAGCAGUGGGGAAUAUUGGGCAAUGGGCGCAAGCCUGACCCAGCGACGCCGCGUGAGGGAUGAAGGCCUUCGGGUUGUAAACCUCUUUCAGUAGGGAAGAAGCGAAAGUGACAGUACCUAAAGAAGAAGCACCGGCUAACUAUGUGCCAGCAGCCGCGGUAAUACAUAGGGUGCAAGCGUUGUCCGGAAUUAUUGGGCGUAAAGAGCUCGUAGGUCGUUUGCCACGUCGAUUGUGAAAAUCUGAGGCUCAACCUCAGACCUGCAGUCGAUACGGGCAAACUAGAGUGUGGUAGGGGAGACUGGAAUUCCUGGUGUAGCGGUGGAAUGCGCAGAUAUCAGGAGGAACACCAAUGGCGAAGGCAGGUCUCUGGGCCAUAACUGACACUGAGGAGCGAAAGCGCGGGGAGCGAACAGGAUUAGAUACCCUGGUAGUCCGCGCCGUAAACGAUGGGCACUAGCUGUGAGAACCUUCCACGGUUUUCGCGACGCAGCAAACGCAUUAAGUGCCCCGCCUGGGGAGUACGAUCGCAAGAUUAAAACUCAAAGGAAUUGACGG